GGCUCAGUAGCUCAGUCGGUCAGAGCAGGGGACUCAUAAGCCCAAGGUCGGCAGUUCAAGUCUGCCCUGAGCCA
rnacentral:tRNA from 1 species